GACGACUUCUUCUGUUUUGAAAUCUCGGGGUUCGACUUCACGUUCGAUAUUAUCUCGCUACUUGAUUGACUAGGGAAAUAAGGCAAGUAUGUUCGAAAUAUGGCAGGCCGACUCGUUUUAUUUCAUCUGCUAGAUGAUAUUGAAGAUAAAGAAAAUAGAAGUUGCCGUCGUCGAUCACCCAUUUUUAGAAGGGAACAAAAUGCCUUCGAAUUGAAUGAUAGAGAGUUUGUAAAAUUAUUUCGGUUAAAUAAAGACUUAGUCUUAUUUCUAUGUGAAGAGUUAACAGCUGAAUUAGAACCCAAAAUUACUUGAGAAAAUGCC
rnacentral:lncRNA from 1 species